rnacentral:rRNA from 1 species
AUAUCAAUAAGCGGAGGAAAAGAAACUAACAAGGAUUCCCCUAGUAACUGCGAGUGAAGCGGGAAAAGCUCAAAUUUAAAAUCUGGCGGUCCUCUGGCCGUCCGAGUUGUAAUCUGGAGAAGCGUUUUCCGCGUCGGACCGUGUACAAGUCUUCUGGAACGGAGCGUCAUAGAGGGUGAGAAUCCCGUCUCUGACACGGACCGCCGACGCUUCAUGUGAUACGCUCUCGAAGAGUCGAGUUGUUUGGGAAUGCAGCUCAAAAUGGGUGGUAAAUUCCAUCUAAAGCUAAAUACUGGCGAGAGACCGAUAGCGAACAAGUACCGUGAGGGAAAGAUGAAAAGCACUUUGGAAAGAGAGUUAAACAGUACGUGAAAUUGUUGAAAGGGAAACGUUUGAAGUCAGUCGCGUCGGCCGGGACUCAGCCUUGCUAUCUUGCUUGGUGCACUUCUCGGUCGACGGGUCAGCAUCAAUUUUGACCGUCGGAUAAAGGCCGAGGGAACGUGGCAUCCUCCGGGGUGUGUUAUAGCCCUUGUUCGCAUACGGUGAUCGGGAUUGAGGAACUCAGCGCGCCUUCAUUGGUCGGGGCUUCGCGGCUCACGUUAACGCGCUUAGGAUGCUGGCAUAAUGGCUUUAAGCGA